rnacentral:rRNA from 1 species
AUUGAACGCUGGCGGCAGGUCUAACACAUGCAAGUCGAGCGGAGAUGAGGUGCUUGCACCUUAUCUUAGCGGCGGACGGGUGAGUAAUGCUUAGGAAUCUGCCUAUUAGUGGGGGACAACAUUCCGAAAGGAAUGCUAAUACCGCAUACGCCCUACGGGGGAAAGCAGGGGACCUUCGGACCUUGCGCUAAGAGAUGAGCCUAAGUCGGAUUAGCUAGUUGGUGGGGUAAAGGCCUACCAAGGCGACGAUCUGUAGCGGGUCUGAGAGGAUGAUCAGUCACACUGGAACUGAGACACGGUCCAGACUCCUACGGGAGGCAGCAGUAGGGAAUAUUGCACAAUGGGGGAAACCCUGAUGCAGCAACGCCGCGUGAGUGAAGAAGGCCCUUGGGUUGUAAAGCUCUUUAGCGUGGGAAGAAGGUAGAUAUGGUGAAUAAUCAUGUUUGCUGACGGUACCACGAGAAUAAGCACCGGCUAAUUUCGUGCCAGCAGCCGCGGUAAGAC